UCCACACAGUAAACGAUAUACACUAGAUGUUGGGUCGGGCACAGUCCGAUUCAGUGUCGUAGCUAACGCGUUAAGUGUAUCGCCUGGGGAGUACGAUCGCAAGGUUUAAACUCAAAGGAAUUGACGGGGGCCCGCACAAGCGGUGGAGCAUGUGGUUUAAUUCGAUGCAACGCGAAGAACCUUACCUGGGCUUGACAUCCCAAGAAUCAAUCAGAGAUGAUUGAGUGCCCUUCGGGGACUUGGUGACAGGUGCUGCAUGGCUGUCG
rnacentral:rRNA from 1 species